GAUGAACGCUGGCGGCAGGCCUAACACAUGCAAGUCGAACGGUAGCACAGAGAGCUUGCUCUCGGGUGACGAGUGGCGGACGGGUGAGUAACGUCUGGGAAACUGCCCGAUGGAGGGGGAUAACUACUGGAAACGGUAGCUAAUACCGCAUAACGUCGCAAGACCAAAGUGGGGGACCUUCGGGCCUCACACCAUCGGAUGUGCCCAGAUGGGAUUAGCUAGUAGGUGGGGUAACGGCUCACCUAGGCGACGAUCCCUAGCUGGUCUGAGAGGAUGACCAGCCACACUGGAACUGAGACACGGUCCAGACUCCUACGGGAGGCAGCAGUGGGGAAUAUUUCACAAUGGGCGCAAGCCUGAUGCAGCCAUGCCGCGUGUAGGAAGAAGGCCUUCGGGUUGUAAAGUACUUUCAGCGGGGAGGAAGGCGGUGAAGUUAAUAGCUUCACCGAUUGACGUUACCCGCAGAAGAAGCACCGGCUAACUCCGUGCCAGCCGCCGCUGUAA
rnacentral:rRNA from 1 species